rnacentral:tRNA from 1 species
UGGGGUGUCGUCCAACGGCAGGACACAUGACUCUGGAUCAUGGUAUCGGGGUUCGAGUCCCUGCACCCCAG